CAAGGAUUCCCCUAGUAACUGCGAGUGAAGCGGGAAAAGCUCAAAUUUAAAAUCUGGCAGUCUCUGGCUGUCCGAGUUGUAAUCUAGAGAAGUGAUGCCCGCGCUGGACCGUGUACAAGUCUCCUGGAAUGGAGCGUCAUAGAGGGUGAGAAUCCCGUCUCUGACACGGACUACCAGGGCUUUGUGGUACGCUCUCAAAGAGUCGAGUUGUUUGGGAAUGCAGCUCAAAAUGGGUGGUAAAUUCCAUCUAAAGCUAAAUAUUGGCGAGAGACCGAUAGCGAACAAGUACCGUGAGGGAAAGAUGAAAAGAACUUUGGAAAGAGAGUUAAACAGUACGUGAAAUUGCUGAAAGGGAAACGCUUGAAGUCAGUCGCGUUGGCCGGGGAUCAGCCUCGCUUUUUGCGUGGUGUACUUCCCAGUUGACGGGUCAGCAUCAAUUUUGACUGCUGGAAAAAGGCAUGGGGAAUGUGGCAGCUUCGGCUGUGUUAUAGCCUCACGUUGCAUACAGCGGUUGGGAUUGAGGAACUCAGCACGCCGCAAGGCCGGGUUUCGACCACGUUCGUGCUUAGGAUGCUGGCAUAAUGGCUUUAAGCGACCCGUCUUGAAACACGGACCAAGGAGUCUAACAUGCCUGCGAGUGUUUGGGUGGUAAACCCGAGCGCGUAAUGAAAGUGAAAGUUGAGAUCCCUGUCAUGGGGAGCAUCGACGCCUGGACCAGAACUUUUGGGACGGAUCCACGGUAGAGCAUGUAUGUUGGGACCCGAAAGAUGGUGAACUAUGCCUGAAUAGGGUGAAGCCAGAGGAAACUCUGGUGGAGGCUCGUAGCGAUUCUGACGUGCAAAUCGAUCGUCAAAUUUGGGUAUAGGGGCGAAAGACUAAUCRAMCYWUYYAGUAGCUGGUUCUGCAGA
rnacentral:rRNA from 1 species